AAUCACCAUUCUCCAAAAUGCAUGCUUAAGCCAAAGAGGAUAAACCAUUGGCAAUUAACACAACCCAAAUUAUAACACACACACACAACUAGUAUACCUUAAAAAAAUUAGUGUUAACCUAACACCAGAGCAUUAAAGGAAAGAUUAAAAAAGAGAGAAGGAACUCGGCAAACUCCAGUCCCGCCUGUUUACCAAAAACAUCGCCUUCUGAUUUAACCAUAGAAGGUCCAGCCUGCCCAGUGACAGAGUUCAACGGCCGCGGUACCCUAACCGCGCGAAGGUAGCAUAAUCACUUGUUCUUUAAAUGAGGACUAGUAUCAACGGCAUCACGAGGACUACACUGUCUCCUCUCUUCAAUCAGUGAAACUGAUCUCCCCGUGAAGAAGCGGGGAUUUACUUAUAAGACGAGAAGACCCCAUGGAGCUUUAAACCCAAUGUAUAACCCAAUACAUAAAUCAACAAAACCCUGAGGAUGUAUACAUUGGUUUUAGGUUGGGGAGACCACGGAGUAAAACUAAACCUCCACAACAAACGGGCUAACGCCCUGAUCUAUGAACUACAAUUCUAAGAGCCAACAAAUUGUUGCCAAUGACCCAAUCACUUGAUUAAUGGACCAAGUUACCCUGGGGAUAACAGCGCAAUCUACUUCAAGAGCCCCUAUCGACAAGUAGGUUUACGACCUCGAUGUUGG
rnacentral:rRNA from 1 species